GAGACUGAGUCUCACUCUAUUGCCCAGGCUGGAGUGCAGUGGCACAAUCUCAGCUCACUGCAACCUCCACCUCCUGGGUUCAAGUGAUUGUCCUGCCUCAGCCUCCUGAGUAGCUAGGAUUACAGGCACCCGCCACCACACCCAGUUAAUUUUUAUAUUCUUAGUAGGGACGGGGUUUCACCACGUUAGCCAGGCUGGUCUUGAAUUCCUGACCUCAAGUGAUCCACCCACCUCGGCCUCCCAAAAUGCUGGGAUUACAGGCGUGAGCCACUAUGCCCAGCCCAUACUUUUUUUUUUUUUUUUUAAAUUGAGGUCUAGAUAACUGCAGGGCCUGCUAACGAGAAUAUAGCUUUACCCGUGAGACUCACAGUUAGCCCAGAUCGUAGAUGUUCCUGGUCAGCUUGUGUUGUGUGUCCUCAGUUGAGUUACUAAUGAUCCAAGAGUUAAUUUCUCCAAAAUGGUGUUCCACAAGACAAUUGUUUAAGAGGUUCCAGAACACAUUCAAUGCAGACCAGGGCUUGUGGUGCUGGUGUCACAACUUUUAAACCUUAUAAGCCCCCGGUAAGUUAUUGCAGAUCAAGUCGCCACCUGUUUCUAGAAUCACAGAAGGUGCCUAUAGAUCAGUCUAGCCUACCCGUUUUACCAGUGAGGAAACCAAACACCAGGAAAGGAAUUGGCCAUGUCACUCAGUGAGCAAACAGCUGAGUUGACACUGGAAGCUGGAUGCUUGUUUGCCAGUCUGUUGUUCACAUUAUACUCAAGAUCAUAGGCAGCAGGCUGCCCAGGAUGCCUCUCUUUCUCCUAGAAUCUGAACGAGGAAAGUAAAGAUUAAGACGCAUUUCAGUAUCAUUUGUUAGUUUCUGGAUACCUGGGAGUAACUUAUUGUGUAUUUUUUGUACUGAAGGUAAACAAAGCAAACAUCAAUUUCUUGAGGAAACUGGUUCAAAACGGCCCUGAGGUUCACCCAGGAGCAAACUUCAUUCAGCAGAGACAUACGCAGAUGAAAAGGUUUUUGAAAUAUGGAAAUCGAGAAAAGAUGGCUCAAGAGCUCAAGUAUGGUGACAUCGUAGAGAGACACCUCAUCGAUGGAGAUGUGGUGCUGUUCAAUAGGCAGCCCUCACUGCACAAAUUGAGUAUUAUGGCUCAUCUGGCCAGGGUCAAGCCCCACCGGACCUUCAGAUUUAAUGAGUGUGUCUGUACACCCUAUAAUGCUGACUUUGAUGGUGAUGAAAUGAACCUUCAUCUUCCUCAAACAGAAGAAGCUAAAGCAGAGGCCCUUGUUCUGAUGGGGGUAUGUAGGGUGGCACAGCCCAGCUUUUGCAUAACAGCUCCUUGAAAGGAGGCAAAGGGAAACUUACAUGAAAACACCACCACAACUAACAAUGCCAAAGAAGCCAGGCCGUUUCUGUUCUUAAACCGACCACUAACUGCCUAUAUAUCUCUCUUUUUAUUGGUUUCUUUUGAGCCUUUGAAGAAUCUCUCUUGGAAAUUAGUGUAUACAUGAGUUAGGGUCUGUAACAGAUGCGUUGAGGGGAUUUUCUGGCCUAUAAAUGUGGGUUCUGGGAGAAAAUGUAUACAUGAGGGCCAGUUAUGACAAGGUAAGAAAAGAAUAUAGCAGUAUCAAUGUUGGAUGUUACAGGGGAAGAAGAUGUCCUACCUAAGUAAAUUUUCCAGUAGCUGAAGAUUCUUUAAGCACCAGCACAUUUUAUUGAACAUUCUGAAUGGAAACCUUCCUAAACUAUAUUAUAUACUUCGUCUUCUUAAAGGAUGCAGUGUUAUACAUAAUGAUAAUAACUCUUACCACCACUUUAUUUGACAAAUACAUAAGGAGUGCCCAGUAGAUGCUGCAGGAGA
rnacentral:sRNA from 1 species